CUGGUUUAAAGGAAGAACGUUUGUAGGAUCUGGAAGAAUCUACAGCAUCUCAAAGAUCAGCUCUGAUCACAGUGGAGAAUACAAGUGUAGAUCCAUCAAUGAACAUGGAGAGAAAUACUCUGAUGCUGUGACUCUAAACGUCAUGUCAGUCAGAUGUUUCUCGUCAGUAGCUCUAGCUGUUUCUGUUUCUGCUGCUGUUUUACUCGGUGGAGCAUCAGGUGCUUUCAUGAUGUACCUUUGUCUUACUAAAAGGAUGAACAGAAGAUCAGCUAUGAAGGAGUCUGCGAUCUCUGAUCCCAGUGAAGACACAUAUACAGCUCUUGAGCUCAAGUCCACGACCUCUGACCUCUACGACACACUCACA